rnacentral:lncRNA from 1 species
CUUGAUAUAACAAUUUAAAAUCCAUUCUGGAAGUGAAAGUUGAAGAAACAGAAGCAAGACUUCAAACAUUGGAACAAAGCUAACAUUUAGAUUACAUCUCAUUUUGUCUUUGGUCUUAAAGCCAAAAACGAUAGAAGCAGAAGACAAUUUCGUUCCAAUUUCAAGGAAAUUCAAGUGUAAAUUUCAUCCAUAUUUCGCAGAAGCAGAUUCGUUCAACUAAUUCAAGAAACAGGUAUGUUAAAGCCAUCCCUUAUUUCUUUCGGCAUGAUCCGAAUUAUACUGAAGAAAUGAGCAAAUGCACAGUUUUCAUAAAUUACUCUAUUCAUAGAGAUACUAGGGGUGUCUAUAUUCUUGAUUCCCCGUGAAAAAUAUUAUUAUCUUCUGUUCAUGGGUAUUAGAAUAAUACACAGUUGAAAAAGUUUAUCCGGAAGGAAUAUUGAGAUUAUUACGUAUUUUUCAUGCAUUUCACUCAUUUAUACAUGUGCAUUGACCUAUGACCAAAUGGCGUUAUAUGCGCGUAUAUAUGUAAAUAUAUGUCUAUGGGAUAUGGGAAUAGGUUACGAUGUUAUAUACACACCACCACCUGAUAAGCUCGUAUAUGUUGAUGAUGUUGCCCACAGUGACCGAGAUGAUAUGAUGGGAUGCCCUCAGUGGCUUGAUGAUAUUAUGUACACUCAUACCUAUGCAUGACACGAUAUUUAUGUGCAUCUGCAUGACGUUAUAAACGUUUCAGAAAUUACAAAGUUAUUCAAAUUUAAAGAUUUGUUUCAUUUUUCCAUGUUUCAUCUAUGUCUUUUACGUACUAAUUUUCACGUCUUACAUACUCAGUACAUUUUUCGUAUUGAUGCCCUAUUUCACGGGGCCUGCGUUUCAUGCCCGCAGGUGCAGGUAGGCAAGCUAACGGUCCCCCUCCUUAGGAUCCCUGAUCAGCGAGAAUUGGCGUGCUCCACUU